ensembl:misc_RNA 7SK 7SK RNA
GGGUGUCAGGGCAAUCUGGCUAUGACGCCCGUCACACCUGUCAGCCCAUCGGUCACCAGGGCCGAUGCCACUGAUCGGGCUGGCUAGAUCCCCUUCAGUCCUCGUAGCUCCACUGUGUCCUUCCCAGAGCCACUCCCUUGGCUGAAGAGGACAUUUCCCCAUGGAGGAGGACCACUGUUUGGUUAGGUGUACAAGAGUACCUGCACUCCCCUCCUAGAACCCCCAAGUGAGUUCCCAAGCUCCCAAGUGAGGAAGUGAGACAUGUGUCUAAAACUUUGGAGUUGAGAAUUAAGCAAGAACAAUUUCAUUUCUU